AUGAAAAAGAACAGAAAAUAUGUGUCAAUUGAUAGUAGCAAAAUUAAAUUUGUCGAAAAUUCUGAAUCUGAAGAUGUAGAAUUUAUUAACACAGAUGAAAGUGAUGCUGUUGAAUUAGAUUCAGAUUACAGUUUAUUAAGUAGUGACAAUUCUGCUAAAAAUGAAGUACAAAAUGAUGAAGAAAAUGAUGAAGAAAAUGGAGAGAAAAAAACAAAUGAUGACUAUGUAAAAAUUUCAUGGAAAAAAGAUAAGAAAGAUUAUUACCAAGAUGAAAGUGAAGAAUCAUCUAGUGAUGAUGAUGAUAAUAAUGAAUAUACUAACGAAAGAAUAAAAGAAGCUAUUUAUUUAAAUAAAAAAGAAAAGGAAAAAAUAGACGAUAAUGAUUUUGAUAUAUAUAACAUAUAUGAUGAUAAAAGUACUAAAUCAUAUGAAAUAACAAAAGAAGAUAAACAAAAUCAUACUAUCACUAGUUUAAUCAGUGGUAUUAAUAAAGAUUUAGAAGAAAAAAAAAAAAAUAUAUUAAUAACAAAAGAAAAUAAAGAUAAUGAACAAAUUGAAGAAAUUAUUAUGAGUGAACAAGAAGAAUAUAAAAUAUUAUUAAAAGAAUUGUCAGGACAUAUCCAAAAUAUAUAUAAAGAAAUAAAUGAAAAUAAAAAAUUAUUUGAAUUUAAAAAUAUCAAUGAAAAUAAUGUUAGUCCAUCUGAUAUUAAUAAAAACAUAUUACUUUAUUUAAAAAAAAAAAAUGAAACUAUGUUAACAUAUAUUAUAUAUAUUAUAUAUUAUGUUUUUCUUAAAACUAUGAAUUGUUAUAGUCAUUCUCACCCUGUAUUAGAUAAAUUAAUAUAUAUGAAUACAAUUAUAUUAAAAACCAAUGAGCUGGAUGAUAAAAUUAAGUAUAAAAUUCAACAACUUAAUAAGUUGCCUGCAAAGAAACAGGAGGUAUUAGUAACUGAAGAUUUGGAAGAAAAACAGUUGAAUGGUCAACAUAAGGAGGUAGAUGAUGAUGAUGAUGAUAAUGAUGGAGGUAGUGGUAGUGAUGGAGGUAGUGAUAGUGAUGGAGGUAGUGAUAGUGAUGGAGGUAGUGAUAGUGAUGGAGAUGGUGGUAGUCAAAAUGAAGAAGAAGGAGAUAUAAACACCGAAAAGGACAAAAAGAAAAAGUACAAAAUCAGUAAAAGUUUGAUAACAGAAUACACUGACAGCCAUAUUCGAGAAAAACUAAAAGAAGAAAAAAAAAAGAAAAGAGAUAGUAUAAAAAAUGAAAGAAGUAUAUUGUUAAAAGAGAUAAAAGAUAUGGUUUCUACCCGUCCUGAAAAAGUAGAAGAUUCAAAUUAUUUUAAAAAAAUAGAAUCAAAACUUUUAGAUUUUGAUGAAAAGAUUUUAAAUAGAAAAUUAAAAAUAUCAAAUAAAAAAAAAAAAAAACAUAUAAAUAAUUUAAGUAAUGUUGGUAUGACAUCAAUCGAUUUAUUAAAAUUUGUUGAAUUGUCAGGAAAGAAUGAAGAAAAUAAUAAUAGUAAUAAUAAUAAUAAUAAUAAUAAUAAUAGGACAAAAAAUUAUGGCAAUAAUAAAAAUCAAAUGGUGGAAGAAGAAAGAAAAAUAUUUAAAAAUAAUAUCCAUAAGGUAAAACAAAUGAACAAAAGUAAAUUUUCUACAAGCAAUAAUGAUGAUAAACAAAAUGAUGAUUUUGUGACAUAUAAAACGUUCGAAAAAAAUAAAAAUAAUAAAAAAGUAUCUUUUAGUAUGGAAGAACAUAACACAGAAAAUACCAAUUUAAUAAAACUAGGAAACAAAUCAGAGUAUUCCUCCCAAAUUAAAGAUGAACAAAUUCAAAAUAUGUUUAACUAUUUGAAAAAGAAAAAAGAAAAUAAAAAAUUAAUUAGCCAAGAAAAAAAUAAAGAAAUAAGAAAAAAACUAGUUGACGAAGAAAAUGAAAUAAUUGAUAGACGAAUGCCCAAUAAAAAUAUUAUACAAAAUAAAGGUCUAAUCAGGAAAAGAAAAUCAACCGACGGUAAUGCAAGAGUCCAUAACAAACAAAAAUAUCAAAAGAAAUUAAAGGUAUUUAACACACAACAUGCUAAAUUAAAAACUCACGAGCACAACUAUUCGGGAGAAAAACGAGGAAUCAAUCCUUACUUGAAAAAAUCAGUAGAUAUAAAGUGAAGUUUAUAUUGUUCAGAUGGACGGAUAAAGUAGUGAAUACGUGUAAAUAUUUAUAUAUAUAUAUAUAUAUAUAUAUAUAUAUAUAUGUUCUAUUUUUUUUUUUUUUUUUUUUUUGUUUGUUUUUUUUUUUACAUAUUACAUUUACCCCUCUGCUUUUACGUAUACGUAUGCAUAUACAUAUAUAUACAUACGAGUAUUUUUUUUUUUUUUUUUUUACAACAUAAAUACUAUUUUAAAAGCAUUUUUUAAUUUUCAUAAAAUUUAAAAAUUUUUAUAUAUUUUAUUUUAUUAAUGUGUUUAAAUUAUAAGUACAUACUUUUUUUAAAAAAGUUUAUUUUGUUACGUCUAAUUUUACAUAUAUCAACUUAUUUAUACGGGGCAUUUAAAAAGAAAUAAAAAUACCCUUUCUGAGUAUUCA
ensembl:lncRNA